GAGGGUAGAGCUCAGUGGUAGAGCAUGUGCUUAGCAAACACAAGGUCCUGGGUUCAAUCCCCAGUACCUCCA
rnacentral:tRNA from 1 species